UUCAUUCAUCAUUUUUGCAAUUUUGAAUAAAUAUCUUUUUACCUUUUCCUUUAUUUGCCUUACACCUUUACUUUGAAGUACGUUAGUGUAACCGAAAUUUUUCUUGGUCAGUACCAUAUUCUUUUUUCCUUUUCUAAAGGUGUCGGAUUUUUGGCAAGUCGAUCUCGUUUCUCCCUGGAAAUGUCGAUGUUGCCUAAAAAUGUCGAUCCCACCUUUUUUCCGAGAAAGUCGAUGACUGCUGAUCCUUUUCUAAAGGUGUC
rnacentral:lncRNA from 1 species